GGCUGGUUAGCUCAGUCGGUUAGAGCAUGGUGCUGAUAAUACCAAGGUCCGGGGUUCGAUCCUCCUACCAGCCA